AGCUGGGUUCAGAACGUCGCGAGACAGUUCGGUCUCUAUCUGCCAUGGGCGUAGGAUAUUUGAAGGGAUCAAUCCCUAGUACGAGAGGACCGGGAUUGACGAACCUCUGGUGUUCCAGUUAUCGUGCCAACGGUAUUAGCUGGGUAGCUAAGUUCGGAAAGGAUAAGCGCUGAAAGCAUCUAAGCGCCAAGCCCCCCCCCAGAAUGGAUAUCCCCAUCAGGCACCUUGUAGACUACGAGGUUGAUAGGUUCCAAGUGUAAGGUUUGUAAGGACUUCAGCUUAGGAAUACUAAUAUGCCGAUCGGCUUGACCUU
rnacentral:rRNA from 1 species